GACGUAGGGCGCGAGCGUUGUCCGGAUUUAUUGGGCGUAAAGAGCUCGUAGGCGGCUUGUCGCGUCGUCCGUGAAAACCUGCGGCUCAACUGCAGGCUGGCGGUCGAUACGGGCAGGCUGGAGUUCGGUAGGGGAGACUGGAAUUCCUGGUGUAGCGGUGAAAUGCGCAGAUAUCAGGAGGAACACCGGUGGCGAAGGCGGGACUCUGGGCCGAUACUGACGCUGAGGAGCGAAAAGCGUGGGGAGCAAACAGG
rnacentral:rRNA from 1 species